AUCAAAGGACUGUCCUCACUGGAAGCACUUUGUUUGAGAUGGUCCCUGUUUCAUUCAGCACUGGGUAAGACAGACCAGCUGUGCUCUGCUUCUUGCUGGAGGAGCAUUGGUAUGCUCUGUACAGCAUCCGGCUUUCUGAGGCUCCGGGAACUCUAACCCAGAUCCUGAGCCUGCAUAGCUAGUAUAUCACCCUGUGAGUCACCUCCUUGGUGCAACCAGUACUUCUAGCCUUGGAGUAAUUUUAUCCCCAAAAGUCAUUCUGCAGUAUCUAAAGACAUUUUUAAUUGUUAAAACCAUAGCCUCCUUGGAACAAGUGGAAAGUGGGAAGGGGGCCGGAAGUGCUGCUAACUAGGGAAGUACAGCUUCUGCCAACAGCUAGCCAGUCUAUCACUUCAAGGAUUCUGAGAGGGAUGCAGAUGAACCGAUGCAGACGUGCACUGUACAGAAGACAGAGGGCCAUCUUCAGAGAAAAGGUUUGACAAGAAUGCAGAGCACUCUGUAAUACUUCAAGUUACUUAUUAACUCUGUCCUCCUGAUAGCUAAUCAAUGGCAUUGCAGAGAGUCAAAUUUGGUGCACUAAACUGCCCCCUUGCCUAAAGCCAAGUCUUGGCUAUGAGUCACAAUUGCACAUGUGUACAAAGAGAAAGACAAACUCUAUCCGGGAUAUUUUUCCAGCAAGUUGAGGUCUGAAACUGGACAGUAUGGCAUGAUGCUCUAUGUGAUUUGGUUCUAAACCGUCUUUAGUAUGGUUUCUCUCAGAAAUUGGCUGCAGGAAUCACAAAACCCAGCAGGAGUACCUAACCCAGACCAAACAGGGAUCGCAGAGGAGCUGAAGGAUGACAUAAAUGUCUUGGCUAAGGGUGAAAAGUAAGAAUUCAUCAAGAAGAAGCAGGGCAGUCAAACAAGAGCAAGUUGUGCAUACUGUCAUGGAGGUGUGAGAAAUCUAUGCUGGCAGCAUUUGUCUUUCAUGGCCUUACAUAGUUGUCUGGUUCUAAGAGACUUUAUAGAUCAGUGGUUCUCCACCUACGCAUGUGACCACCUUAGGGUCACAUAAAAGAUAUCUGCAUACCAGAUAUUUACAUUAAGAUUCAUAACGGUAGCAAAAUUACAGUUAUGAAGUAGCAACACAAUAUUUAUGGUUGAGGUCACCAUAAUAUGAGGGACUGCAUUAAAGAGUUGCAGCAUUAGGAAGAUUGAGCAUCACUGCUUUAGAUUCUUAGAAGUAGGCAAGGGAAAGAUUUCUGAGACACAGUAGUACCCUCCCUUCUCUGACCCCAAGAAAAAUCCCACAUUGUAGUUGCUGGGAAGUCAGUGGAGAACACAAAAGGUCUGGUUGAGGACCCAGAAUCCCCAGCCACUCAGGGAAUAUCUAGAGCAUGCAAUUCUGUCUUCUUCCUGCUAGAUACUGUGCUAGGUGUUCGGGUUAGGAACAGAAUAUAAGAAUAGUUUCCCCAGCGUUAGCAAAGACCCACGUGGCUGAUAUGGGGUGGACCCAGAGGCCACUCCCUCUCACCAGCAGUCUACUCUGUACUCAAGGUGCCAACACAAAUCCUCGAAUAUCAACAAGAUGCAUUGAUUAAUUUAUAAAUAUUUUCAAAUGUUAAACAAAAGUACAAAAAAAGAUUGUAAUCCUUAAGAAGUUCUAAAAUUAGUGACAAAAUUUCUCCUAAAAAUUUCAAAUAUCAGUGGUUUUCAAACAAUUUUAUAUUCCUUUGAGAAAAUCUGUUAGGAUAAGCUGAAGUUUUCUGGUAUUAACAAAAGUCAUGAAACCAAACAUGGGAUUUUUGUUGUCUUUUAAUAUCUCUACCUGUUUUGGUAACUAUUUGCUAAAAGGAAUUUGUACUCAAGAGUGAAAAAAAUACAACUACUAUUCAUCUCUUCAAAGUGACAAACCAAUCUAAAAGACAUUUAAUUUAAAUACAACAGGGAAUUUAAUGUAAUUUGGGGAAGAUUGAUUGACCUUAUAAUAUUUUAUUGUAGCAAAAAAAGGUUAGGUUAUUUCAAUAAGCAAAACUUAAUUUCCUUUAUGCAAGAAAUCCAGGUAUAAUUUGCUUGCUUUGCUUUUGCAGAGGCCCUAUAACCGUUUUGUUCUGAGUUAAGCCACAAUCCAGUAUGAAAAUGGUUCUUGAGAAUAAACUAUAGGUAGAUACCAUCUAGUAGCACUUAUUUAGGUUGUGAAAUAUAUAUAUAAUCUUGCUUGUUAAUUGAAGAAAAUAUGCUAUUUGAUAGGUCGAAUAUGGGAAUAAUAUAGCAGGAAUUGAGUUUGGUUGAAGAGCUAAAAACUGGUAUAAUAUGUUACUUAUUUUAUUGUUUGUUCUUUUAACUAGUAGGAGUUUACAAAUUACCAACAUUAAGAUAUAGCAACCCUAUAGGUGGAACAACAAUAUGAACUAACCAGUACCCAUAGAGCUCGUAUCUCUAGCUGCAAAUGU